GUUUACGGCCACACCGCCUGGUCCACGCCCGAUCUCGGAAGCUAAGAUAGGUUGGGCCUGGUUAGUACUUGGAUGGGAGACCUCUUGGGAAUACCAAGGUGUUGUAAGCU
ensembl:rRNA 5S_rRNA 5S ribosomal RNA